AGAUUGAACGCUGGCGGCAUGCCUAACACAUGCAAGUCGAACGGGAGUAGCAAUACUCUAGUGGCGGACGGGUGAGGAAUACGUAGGAAUUUGCCCUUAAGUGGGGGAUAACCCGGGGAAACCCGGAUUAAUACCGCAUGGACCUCGAAAGAGCAAAGUGGGGGAUCGCAGACCU
rnacentral:rRNA from 1 species